CCUACGGGAGGCAGCAGUGGGGAAUCUUGCGCAAUGGGCGGAAGCCUGACGCAGCAACGCCGCGUGCGGGAAGAAGGCCUUAGGGUCGUAAACCGCUUUCAGGGGGGACGAAGCUUCCGGGGUUAAUAGCCUACGGGGUGACGGUACUCCCAAAAGAAGGUCCGGCUAACUACGUGCCAGCAGCCGCGGUAAUACGUAGGGACCGAGCGUUGUCCGGAAUCAUUGGGCGUAAAGAGCGUGUAGGCGGCUUGGUAGGUCCCGUGUGAAAUCCCGCGGCUCAACCGCGGAUCCGCACGGGAAACCCCUAAGCUCGAGUCCGGAAGAGGAGAGUGGAAUUCCUGGUGUAGCGGUGAAAUGCGCAGAUAUCAGGAAGAACACCCGUAGCGAAGGCGGCUCUCUGGGACGGUACUGACGCUGAGACGCGAAAGCGUGGGGAGCAAACAGGAUUAGAUACCCUGGUAGUCCACGCCGUAAACGAUGGGCGCUAGGUGUGGGAGGUGUCGACUCCUCCCGUGCCGAAGCUAACGCAUUAAGCGCCCCGCCUGGGGAGUACGGCCGCAAGGCUAAAACUCAAAGGAAUUGACGG
rnacentral:rRNA from 1 species